rnacentral:rRNA from 1 species
AGUCAAGUAAUUAAGUGCAUGUGGUGGAUGCCUUGGCAGUCAGAGGCGAUGAAAGACGUGAUAGCCUGCGAAAAGCUCCGGGGAGGCGGCAAAUAUCCUUUGAUCCGGAGAUGUCUGAAUGGGGGAACCCACCUACUUUAAGGUAGGUAUUGCAACAUGAAUACAUAGUGUUGCAAGGCGAACGAGGGGAAGUGAAACAUCUCAGUACCCUUAGGAAAAGAAAUCAAUUGAGAUUCCCUCAGUAGCGGCGAGCGAACGGGGAUCAGCCCAUUAAGUUAUGUGUGUUUUAGUGGAACGCUCUGGGAAGUGCGAACGUAGAGGGUGAUAUUCCCGUACACGAAAGGGCACACAUAAUGAUGACGAGUAGGGCGAGGCACGUGAAACCUUGUCUGAAUAUGGGGGGACCAUCCUCCAAGGCUAAAUACUCCUGACUGACCGAUAGUGAACCAGUACCGUGAGGGAAAGGCGAAAAGAACCCCUGUGAGGGGAGUGAAAUAGAUCCUGAAACCGCAUGCAUACAAGCAGUGGGAGCACCUUCGUGGUGUGACUGCGUACCUUUUGUAUAAUGGGUCAGCGACUUAUAUUCAGUAGCGAGGUUAACCGUAUAGGGGAGCCGUAGAGAAAUCGAGUCUUAAUAGGGCGUUUAGUUGCUGGGUAUAGACCCGAAACCAGGCGAUCUAUCCAUGAGCAGGUUGAAGGUUGGGUAACACUAACUGGAGGACCGAACCCACUGUCGUUGAAAAGCCAGGGGAUGACUUGUGGAUAGGGGUGAAAGGCUAAUCAAGCCUGGUGAUAGCUGGUUCUCCCCGAAAGCUAUUUAGGUAGCGCCUCGGACGAAUACCAUAGGGGGUAGAGCACUGUUUCGGCUAGGGGGUCAUCCCGACUUACCAAACCGAUGCAAACUCCGAAUACCUAUGAGUACUAUCCGGGAGACAGACUGCGGGUGCUAACGUCCGUAGUCAAGAGGAAAACAAUCCAGACCGCCAGCUAAGGCCCCAAAAUCAUAGUUAAGUGGGAAACGAUGUGGGAAGGCAUAGACAGCUAGGAGGUUGGCUUAGAAGCAGCCACCCUUUAAAGAAAGCGUAAUAGCUCACUAGUCGAGUCGGCCUGCGCGGAAGAUGUAACGGGGCUAAAACUAUGUGCCGAAGCUGCGGAUGUAUACUUUGUAUACGUGGUAGGGGAGCGUUCUGUAAGCCGAUGAAGGUGUGUUGAGAAG